GAUUUUUUUUCAGGUAUAAAAGUAAAUGCAGUGCCGCUACUGUAAAUUUUCUGCACAGCAGCAAGACGUGCUGCUCAAGCAUUACAGGCUUCAUCACUGGAAAGCCGGUAAAGGGCUUUAAAGUUGUUGCUGGAUCGACCUGACGUACUUGAGAAGACGUUUCCUAUCAAGGAGAGGACACCAGGAUAUUACACCUCACCAUUUGAUGGAAACAAUGUUGCUUCGAGUUAUUCUCUCACCUGACAACAUCAGGAAGCUAACUAUACCCACACCAUCGUCUACUGAUG